rnacentral:rRNA from 1 species
GAUGAACGCUGGCGGCGUGCCUAAUACAUGCAAGUCGAGCGAACGGACGAGAAGCUUGCUUCUCUGAUGUUAGCGGCGGACGGGUGAGUAACACGUGGAUAACCUACCUAUAAGACUGGGAUAACUUCGGGAAACCGGAGCUAAUACCGGAUAAUAUUUUGAACCGCAUGGUUCAAUAGUGAAAGACGGUCUUGCUGUCACUUAUAGAUGGAUCCGCGCUGCAUUAGCUAGUUGGUAAGGUAACGGCUUACCAAGGCAACGAUGCAUAGCCGACCUGAGAGGGUGAUCGGCCACACUGGAACUGAGACACGGUCCAGACUCCUAAGGGAGGCAGCAGUAGGGAAUCUUCCGCAAUGGGCGAAAGCCUGACGGGGCAAAGCCGCGUGAGUGAUGAAGGUCUUCGGAUCGUAAAACUCUGUUAUUAGGGAAGAACAAAUGUGUAAGUAACUGUGCACAUCUUGACGGUACCUAAUCAGAAAGCCACGGCUAACUACGUG